GAAAUGCGAUAAGUAAUGUGAAUUGCAGAAUUCAGUGAAUCAUCGAAUCUUUGAACGCACCUUGCGCUCCUUGGUAUUCCUUGGAGCAUGCCUGUUUGAGUAUCAUGAAAUCUUCAAAGUAAAUCUUUUGUUAACUCAAUUGGUUUCUACUUUGGUAUUGGAGGUCUUUGCAGCUUCACACCUGCUCCUCUUUGUUCAUUAGCUGGAUCCCAGUGUUAUGCUUGGUCCACUCGGCGUGAUAAGUUAUCUAUCGCUGAGGACACUGUAAAAGGUGGCCAAGGUAAAUGCAGAUGAACCGCUUCUAAUAGUCCAUUGACUUGGACAAUACUUUUAUGAUCUGAUCUCAAAUCAGGUAGGACUACCCGCUGAACUUAAGC
rnacentral:misc_RNA from 1 species